UACGUAGGGUGCGAGCGUUUGUCCGGAAUUAUUGGGCGUAAAGGGCUCGUAGGCGGUUUGUCGCGUCGGGAGUGAAAACUCAGGGCUUAACCCUGAGCCUGCUUCCGAUACGGGCAGACUAGAGGUAUGCAGGGGGAGAACGGAAUUCCUGGUGUAGCGGUGGAAUGCGCAGAUAUCAGGAGGAACACCGGUGGCGAAGGCGGGUCUCUGGGCAGUAACUGACGCUGAGGAGCGAAAGCGUGGGGAGCGAACAGG
rnacentral:rRNA from 1 species